AACUUUCAAUGUGUAUGAAAGGAGCACUGCAUGGUCAAUAAUCCCCCUAGGCUGGGUGUAGGGCUCCUCUGGCUUCUCAGCGAAGCUGGUAAGCAUGGUGCCACUUGAUCCUAUUAUAAGGUGAGAGGAAGCCUGGAAGCAGGGUUCCUUUCUGGAAGAUUUUAAAAUGGGAAAGACUUGACCUGAAACCUGUGUCAUAAUCAAGGGACUAAAAUGAUCUUUCCAAAGGACCUCUGGCUGUGCUCUUGACUCCCCAGUGGUUUCUGUGAAUAUCAACAUUGCCUGGCAUUAACUAGCCCAGAUUCUGAUCUCGCAGUUCCUGAUUGGUGCCCUCUGCCUAUAUAAGGUCAGGAUGUGGAAUGCUGAAGGCAGGGUCCUACCUUCUCCUGAGCUCCAAGCUUUCUUAUCUGUGCUCCCUGCUAAUCAACUCACCAGCAUGAAGCUCUUGGCGUUGCUGGUACUGGUGGCCGUUUCCACCUUCCUGGUUUCAGGCCAGACAACUGGCGCCGCUGCAAGUGAUAGCUCUACUGGUAAGUCUGUGUUUGUACUUCAUGUCCUUCCUGCCAUGACUGUUUUCCAUCUCUGUCUCGCGUCACGCGGCCAUGGAGGACAGAACGCAAAGCAGCUGCUUGGGAAAAGCCACAUUCUUGCUUGUAAAGUUCAUUGCGACCAUAGAAAAUCUGCUGAUUUCUUAUACAUUUUUAGAGAAUAUAGUCUCUGGAAAGGACCAAUGCAAACUGUAAGUGUGGUCUAGGAGAAAAGACAAGGGAUUAUGGUCUGAAUCUGUGGUGUGGGAAUUUGGGGGAGUUGCAUGUAAAGUCUUCUUGAUGACCAUAGCUUGAAGGGGUGAAUAUAGGGUCAGUGUGUAGAAGUGGGAUUAAUCAGUUUCAGGAUGAAGAAAGACAAUGUAAUUAAUUCCUGAAGGUGAUAUAGAAAUGACAGCAGUAGGCCUGCAUGGGAGUGUGGAAUGGAGAUUGAGGAAUAUGGGGUGAAGUUGAUGAAUGGCCUUAUGCUUUGUUCUUUGUAACGCAUGGCUUAGUCCCAUGCUGAUCUGCAUUUUUUUUUCUUAUGUGAAACUGAAGGUUGUGUAAAAAAGCCCCAAGUGCCUUUCUUGGGCUUCUCACACAGCG
rnacentral:lncRNA from 1 species